AGCGAGGUAGGACAGCCAGGAGUGUCCGUCGGGCUCAUAACCCGAAAAAAGGUAAGGAAUUAUCUUUUGGGUUUAGGUCGAUGGUUCAAAUCCAUCCCUCGCUA
rnacentral:tRNA from 2 species